rnacentral:rRNA from 1 species
GGCAGAGGCCUCGAGCGUUAGGCGGAAUCACUGGGCUUAAAGUGUGUGUAGGCGGGCCCGUAAGUGUCUUGUGAAAUCCCACGGCUCAACCGUGGAACUGCUGGGCAUACUGCGGGUCUGGGCCAACUAGGGGCAGCCGGAACAAGCGGUGGAGCGGUGAAAUGCGUAGAUAUCGGGAAGAACACCCGUGGCGAAGGCGGUUCUCUGGGACGGUACUGACGCUGAGACGCGAAAGCGUGGGGGAGCGAACAGG